UGCAUUUCAAAAUAUUUAUUAGGAAAAGCAACUCCCAAUAAGUAUGCAACCAAAUAUACUUCAGCGUGUAGUAGGUAUUGCCUAGAUUUUAAUAAGUAUUUGGACAAAGUUGGUGACUUUUAGGGGAAUUCGUAAUCUAGAAGUUGGUCCGUGUGUCGAUACGGCUUCCGGCUGACGUGUUUGUCAUUGCUUCGGGGAGAGCAGGCCAGCACUUAAUUUUCAACUCUUGUACAGAAGACAUCUGAUCUCCCGAUCUCCGGUGGCCAUUGCCAGAAUUUACCUUUUAGUUGAAAAAGUUAUAAGAUUAAUUUACGUUGGAGGAAGUUUUUAUUUUGUUUUGGGUUUUGUGAAGAGUUUGAGGAGAAGAGUUUUUGUUUCCAAUACUUUUUUGAAGAGCAAUGGCCACUGGAGAAAAAGGAAAUUAAGUCACCAUUUUUGUUUUUGUUGGAUAUGGAAUAAGCAAUCAGUUUGGGGUUUCUUUUGGUUUGGAUUGGGAUUUUCUGUUUUUUUGGAAUCAACAUUGAUUUUUACCGGUACUAGUAAGUACCUCCUCAUCGGACCAUCCGUAUUGUGGUUGAGUAUCUCCCCAGGAUUGGAAACCGGAGGAUACCUACCUGGCUCUUCCAUCGUCAACCUCUCAAGGAGUUUGGAGAAGCCUCCGUCCCUACUUUUGUAGAAGCGACAGGUUUUUAUUAUAAAAUAUACAUUUUCAAUUCUUUUAAAUAACUGCUUGCAAUAUUAAUAUUUUUUCCAAUAAAUUAGAAAUAACCUUAAUAAUAAUAUAAACUCAUUUUUUCUAAAAUCACCAUUUGUAAUAUUCAAUCAUUUUUUUUUUCAACAAGUUUUAUCGUUCACUGUUCGUACCACUCAUUUAAAAUAGUCCGGGAAUUAUAAACUAUAUGUUAAGGUGUUGUAUACAAUAUCUACGGUUUUAAUUCCUAUUUAAUAUCCUUUAUUUCAGUUCAACAGGUAUGGUACUCAGGGUUAUCACUUAGGUCAGAUACGAGAUUGUCAACCAAUACUAUAACCAAUAUCCAUAAUACAUUUUUGUUUAAGUAAAUAACUUGUGAUUCCCAAUAACUGUCUUGAUCUAACUAAUUAAGUUCUUUGUUUUAAUUUUUAUUGUAAUCUCAUUGUCGACAGGAGCGUACUUUUCUAGUACAACAGGUACUGAUUAGCUAGUUUGUAUAAAAUUGUAUAUAGGGGUUAUAGGUUUUUUCAUUAAAUUUGUUGGUUGUACAUA
rnacentral:lncRNA from 1 species